CCGUAUAUUUAUUUUUUGGAUAGUAUGAAGAAGAGAGAGAGAGAGAAAUGGGGUUUAACGCCCACUCCACACAAACUAGGUCAUUUCGGGACUAACAAAAGGAUCAUUUGUCAGACUGUGAUUUUAUAGAAGUUUAUAAGUUGCCAAGAAGUCAGUUUUUUCGACUACCAUAUUGGAAGCAGGGGCAGAUAAUUCGAUCAUCACGCCUGUACUGAUUCCACAGAGACAUGACCGCAUCACCGUUAUAAUUGUGCUUGAUGAAAAUGUCCAUAGACUGUAGUUCAUAUAUAUGUAAUCACAUCAUCAUAUAAUCACAAAUAAUCACAUGACUAUUGGGAGGGGAGAGAGCUUGGGUGGUUAAAAGACUGAACCAGUUAGAACCUCGCGUGGAUCUAGAUGUAAACUCCAUUCCAUUCAAAGAACACAGUUUUUAUGGAAUACAAUCAGUAGUUUUAUUCUUAUCAUUAUCAAGCACAAUGACAUUUAGUAAACUUGAAGUCAAUAUAAUGAAAUUGAUAGUGAAACCAUUUACAUAGAUUAAAUAACAGUGACAAAAAGAAUCAAAAGGGUAAAGGAUUUUUAACUGGACCCUUAAGUUUUAAUCCUUGUGGCACAAUGUUACUGUCUCUGCAUCUGUCUCUGCAUCUAUGAAUUUCAUAUAAUAUACUGACCUCAAAUUUUUAGAAUAAAACUGUGAUUGUAUCCCAUAAAAACCGUGUUCUGUUAAUGAAUUUGCCGUUCGCUAAAUUACCUUUUCUGGUAAUUUUUUCGAGAAGAAAAUAACGGCAAAGUUGACUAAAAUGCGUAAUAAAACAAGAAUAAGGGUAUUGCAAGCUAAUACAGAAUUGAGAAAUAAAUUGACGAGGAAGAUAUUAGGAUAAUUUUGUAAACAGUGUUAAUCCAGAGAGGCGUUCCUAUUGUAUUGAAAAGUGGGUGGAGUGAACCCCGCCACACAAAUAUUCACGCCUGGAUAUAAAUGUCUGCUAAUUUUGCUUAUGGACCUUUUGGAAUGAUGGAGGUGGAAAUCCCAGAACGGGGAUCGAUGACCCGACAACACAGCUAAGUAACCCUCGGAAUCUCCGUGACAAGAAUCCAUAAAAUAUAUUAUGAUUAACGAUCACCAUGAUAAAGGAUCAUGAUUAAGUAUGUUAAGAUGCCAUAAAAUAUCAUUUCAUAUAGUUAUCACUGACGUCAUCAAACAUGACAUUUUCUUUAUUGUAGAUUUUUUAAUUAAACGUAUCAAUAUUACUGUAUAUUAAAUAUCAUGUAUUAUUAUUUAAUAUACACCUGUGCUCAAGUUACGAUCACACAAGUUCGUGUUACGUUAUCUAAUUAAUAAAAUAUAAAAAUGACUAGAGUAAAAAAAUAAAAUUCUUCAUUUCUUUU